GAUGAAGAACGUAGCGAAAUGCGAUAAGUAAUGUGAAUUGCAGAAUUCAGUGAAUCAUCGAAUCUUUGAACGCACCUUGCGCCCUUUGGCUAUUCCGAAGGGCAUGCCUGUUUGAGUAUCGUGAACACCUCAACUCUCAUGGUCUGCCAUGAUGAGCUUGGACUUUGGGGGUCUUGCCGGCCUAGCGUCUGCUCCUCUCAAAUGGAUCAGCUUGCCAGUGUUUGGUGGCAUCACAGGUGUGAUAACUAUCUACGCUUGUGGUUUUCUACCAUGUAACCUUCAGCGAUGGAGGUUUGCUGGGGCUCACAGACGUCUCUCCUUGGAGGACAGCUUUUUGAACGUUUGAUCUCAAAUCAGGUAGGACUACCCGCUGAACUUAAGCAUAUCAAUAAGCGGAGGA
rnacentral:misc_RNA from 1 species